GGAUUGUGGCUCAGUGGCAGAGUGCUUGCCUCACAUGUAUGAUGUACUGGGUUCGAUGCUCAGUACCA
rnacentral:tRNA from 1 species